rnacentral:rRNA from 2 species
GUAGUCAUAUGCUUGUCUCAAAGAUUAAGCCAUGCAUGUCUAAGUAUAAGCAAUUAUACCGCGAAACUGCGAAUGGCUCAUUAAAUCAGUUAUCGUUUAUUUGAUAGUACCUUACUACAUGGAUAACCGUGGUAAUUCUAGAGCUAAUACAUGCUAAAAAUCCCGACUUCGGAAGGGAUGUAUUUAUUAGAUUAAAAACCAAUGCCCUUCGGGGCUCUCUGGUGAUUCAUAAUAACUUCUCGAAUCGCACGGCCUUGCGCCGGCGAUGGUUCAUUCAAAUUUCUGCCCUAUCAACUUUCGACGGCUGGGUCUUGGCCAGCCGUGGUGACAACGGGUAACGGGGAAU